GGAAGGCGGAGGGUGAGAGAGGGAGCCUUGGGCGAGUGUGGGAGCCUCCCCUCACUGCCGCCCGGGACGUUGGCAGUCCUCCCCGGCCCGCCCGGGACUACAGCGUGUGUACAGUUCCCAUCAGUUCUCACUCGAUGGUGACCUUUGUCCCCAGGGACAUUUGGCAGUGUCUGGGGGCAUCUUUGGUUGUCAUGACGAGAGUCAAGGGGUGACCAGUGGCACCUGGCGUGUAGAGUUAUGAAUAGAUACGUGUUGGUGUUUAUCUGGUUGCUGUCUGCUUCCGCCACUGAACUUGGAGCUAGCUGCCUGAGGGCAAGGACCGACUGAGUUUGCUUUGGCCCCCACCGUCCGUAUUCCCUGCCCCUGGCUAAUGUCUGGCUCCCGAGGGCCCUGGGAUGAAUGAGCCAGUGACGUACAGGAGCCAAGACUGGAAGACAGUUUUCUCAAAUUCCGGCCCACACUCUCAGCAUGACGCUCCUUCCUGGUUUGAAUUCGACUGAAUACAGCAAGUGUCACCUCACUGUUUUGGGGCCAGCUCAUUUCAAGACCCAUGGGGCAGAGGCUCCUGGAGUGUCCGGCAGUUACAACACCUUUGCUUCCUCGUGGCUUCAGACUGAACAGGGCCGGUUCUCGCAAGGUGUCGCUUCCUCCUGAGUUUAUUUUUAAAUCAAGAUGAAUCUCUGUGCCGGAAGCCGGGAGCGCUGGAGGAAACCCCUCUUGCUGGCUGCGUGGAGGCGGACUGGCCGUGUGAGCUGCGGGCAUAAAGAGAGAUCGAUUUAAUUUUUGUUAGUCCCGAAAGUCAGACAUGUUUGUCAUAGCAAGUUAACAGAAUUUAGAAGAAAGCUCGUUUAGCCUCACCUCCCACAGAGAGCCAUUUCAACAGUUGGGUUGUUUCCUGCAAGUCAGUUCUUUGUGUAUUUUUGCCCUUUUUUUGGGAGGAGGGGGCAUAAUUUUGAUCAUACAAUAUAUUGUGCCUCUCCUUCUUCUGCCACUUAACUUUAUAAGCACAUAAAUAAAAUAUUUUAAUAUCAAGUAUAAAAGUUUUUCAGUACAUAGUAAAUGUUACUAUGAAACAUUAAAUGUUUCCUAUUGAUAUGUGUUAAUAUGUAUAAUUCAGUAUUAAGAUAUUGAAUAAAAAUACUUCAAAACUAA